rnacentral:rRNA from 1 species
GACGAACGCUGGCGGCGUGCCUAAUACAUGCAAGUCGAGCGGACGGAUGGGAGCUUGCUCCCAGACCGUCAGCGGCGGACGGGUGAGUAACACGUGGGCAACCUGCCUGUAAGCCUGGGAUAACUCCGGGAAACCGGGGCUAAUACCGGAUAACUCUUUCCCUCACAUGAGGGAAAGCUGAAAGAUGGCAUCUCGCUAUCACUUACAGAUGGGCCCGCGGCGCAUUAGCUAGUUGGUGAGGUAACGGCUCACCAAGGCGACGAUGCGUAGCCGACCUGAGAGGGUGAUCGGCCACACUGGGACUGAGACACGGCCCAGACUCCUACGGGAGGCAGCAGUAGGGAAUCUUCCGCAAAGGACGAAAGUCUGACGGAGCAACGCCGCGUGAGUGAUGAAGGUUUUCGGAUCGUAAAACUCUGUUGUCAGGGAAGAACAAGUACCGGAGUAACUGCCGGUACCUUGACGGUACCUGACCAGAAAGCCACGGCUAACUACGUG